rnacentral:lncRNA from 1 species
AUGAACUGAAGAAUCAGUAAUUUGCCUGCUGGAAAAACAUGAAAAUGUAUAGGAAGUGGGAGAACAUGGAAAAUCAGAGAAUGAAGGAGAAAAAACAGGAAUGGAUGUAAUAAGAAGCCUGUGAGAGAAAUGAAGGAACACAAAUUAAAGGGAAAUGGA